ACCUCCACUCCUCUCACUGACUCUCGAACCCUCCACUCCACUCUCACUCACUCUCGAAACCAAAACUCUCGAAACCAACACUAGCCCUCCAUCAGCACCCAUCAUCACUUCAACCUCCAUCACUCAAAACCUCAAUCAGCACAGUGCAUCGUCGCAGCGACAGUGAGCCUCCAUCACGCAGACGCAGCGUAAUGUCAUCGUCGCAGCGAAACGUAGUGUCAUCGUCGCCUUUCAUCGUCGCCGACCUUCAUCGUCAACCCACGCAGUGACUCUGUGGCAAAAACAUGUCCCGACCUUCAUCGUUCACAAAGCAAAACCCUUGUCAGAAAACCCUCUGCGAAUUGGGAAAAAAAUUGACCUGGGUGUUCUUUUGUUGGAGUGGGUGCAUUAUCUGAAAAUGGAGCUUUUAGACCAAAUGGGAAAGUUCUGAUUACAAACGAGUACAGUUGGAACAGAGAGGCAAACAUUUUGUAUUUGGAGACACCAAUUGGAGUGGGGUUCUCUUAUGCCAUAGGUGGCUCUUCCUAUGAGACUGUGAAUGAUGAGACAAUAGGUUUGUUAUCUUGUGUUUCCGAUUAAAAUGUGCUUAUGUAGAUUUGGGUGAUCAAAGUUCAGAUUUGAAGAGACCUUCAUGACAUUAAUUGCUUGAGUGUGAGAUAAAUUAAGGUAUCAUGAUCGGAGCACAGGAGCAAACACAAAAAAGCUUGUUCCAGUGAAAAUAAUGUUCUAUUUACCUAUAAUUCCAAGGUUGCAGAGACUGUUUGCAUCAAUGGAAACUACUAGUCACAUGUCUUGGCAUCGUGAAAAUAGAAGUAGCUCAGGCGUGUUACGUCAUCCCUCAGAUGGUGAAGCUUGGAAGCAUUUUGAUCAGGAGCAUCACAUUCGAACUGGCUGUGGUUUUGUGUCUGUCAUAGUCUAUGAGGAUCUUGACAAAUCAACUCUGAUCACCUAUCCGGAUUUAGCACCAAACUGUUAGCACUGCCAAUUUAUUUUCUUUUACAUAGUUCCACUUGUUUAAGGAUCACCUAUUGUUUCCAAGGAUUGUUUUUCUGUCCAGAGGCAGCUUCUUUACUGCUUCACAACUUUUGCCAAGAGAGACAACAAACCUUGCUCGGACUACAAGAUGCAGGAGCAGUCGCUAGUUAUUUUGCUGCAAAGAUCUAUGGCUUGGAUAUACUUGUUGAAGACAUUCAGGAUGAUAGUGAUAAUGUCACUCGAUUUUUAAUGUUAGCGCGAGAACCUAUAAUUCCAGGCACUGAUAGGCCAUUUAAGACAAGCAUAGUUUUUUCUUUAGAAGAAGGUCCUGGGGUUCUUUUCAAGGCUCUUGCUGUUUUUGCAUUGCGUUAGGUUAACCUCAAUAUUUGUAGAUAUGUCAUCAGGAUGUAAUAAAGACAUUCCUGAACCAUCUUUGCCUAUUGUCAAAAAGGGGAGAAAGGGGACAAUGAAGGGAAGACGACCAAAAUAUGUUCUUAUAUUACCAUCACAAAAAACACAUAUACUUGAAUCCCCUAUUGAUCAACAAAAUCCUUCUACAACUGCAAAUGUUGUACCAAUUCCUUCCCAACCAUCAAUAGCCGAAUCUACCCCUUCCCAACCCUCAAUUGACCAACCCAUACCUUCUCAACCCCCCAUUGUUCAACCUGUGCAACCUCAUGUUAAUGAACCUACACUGUCAUCUAUGGCUUCCCAAUGUGUUGGUGCUAGAUUGACAUCAUUAUCUUCCCCCUCUCAACAAAAUGAUACACCAACCUUAAUACCCACCCGAUCUAUUCAUAAUGUACUUCAGGAAGACCAACACAUGUCUACCGAAGAAGCAGGUGAACCAUCCAUAAAUGAAGACAAUGACCCUCAUGUUGGUGCAAUGCUUGAAAUUAUUGAACCUUGUAAUGAUGGGUUUUACCUAAGUAGAGUUGCCUCCAAGGCAAUCACAAAGACAAUUAAGCAACAAUAUGUUGAGCCAUGGUUAACUUGGGGUGCAAUGUUAGAUGAAGAGAAGGAGAUCUUCUUCCAAAGGUUCAAGAGAAAGGUUACUUGGAGACCUGAACAUGAGGAGAAGAUUAGAAAGAUUUUCAACACAAAGGCCUCUCAUAGACUUUCUGAAAUCUUCAAGGAAGCAAGAAAAACCUCACUAGAUGUUUGAUAGAGUAUGGAACAGUUUGCUUGCUAAGUGGAACCAACCCGAGUUUCGAUCAAAGAGUGCUCGUAAUCAAAAGAAUCGAGCAUCUGAGAAGGGUGGAUGUUUGCACACAGGUGGCUCAAUCACCAUCCAUGAGCAUGCCCUUCGCAUGGCAUAACAAUUGGGUCGUCCUGUACAUUUUGAUGAGCUUUUCCACCAUACUCAUGUUCGCAAGAAUACCGGUGAUUUUGUAGAUCACAGAUCUUAACAAACAUAUGAGGAAUUUCAAACUAUAUUUUCCCAAGCAAGAUCUGAGGCUGCUUCUUGUGGUGAAGGAGAAGAAAUAUCUCCAUUGAGCCCUAGUGAGGAAGAGAAGUUAAGGAAAAAAAGUUGGUUAGUUGCUGCUAGUGGCAAAAAUCCUAAGGGACGAGUAUAUGGUGUUGGAAAACUGAAUGAAAAUUAUCUUUGUGGGGAAGCCUUCACACAAUAACCAUUCAGUUCUACAAGUAUGGAUUCACAAAAGAUUCUAAGGUUGGAAGAAGAAAUUCGUCAAUCUAGGGAGGAGUUUCGUCAAUCUAGGGAGGAGAAUCAACGAUUGCAGAGAAAAUUAGAAUCCCUAGUAACUGUUGUUCUCCCUCUUCUUCCUCCCGCCGCACAAACCAUUUUGCAAGACGUCAAUGAACAACCACAAAAUGAGGAUCAAAACCAAGAUGAUGCUCGGGAGAGGAACCACCAGCAUGGGCAAAACUCUUCUCAUUAUGCAGAUUAUUAGUUAGGUUUGUAAUUAUAGGACUUGUUGAACUAGGUGUAAAAUUAGUUAGUUUUUAAAUUGUAGGACUUGACCUAUGUAGCUUAUUUGUUAGUUUCUUAAUCUGUGUUAUCUACUUUAUUUUAUAUUUGUAGGUUUAUAGUUUUGAUGUGAUGAUAUGAAUGGUGCUAAACCUUUGGAUAACUAUGUUGUUUUAUAUUUGAAGGUGUUAUUUGAAUGCUGGAAUGUUUGUAGGA